AGUCUUUACUGAAACUUCUUGAGAAAUCUUGAGCCAGUACCACAUAGCUAAACUGCCAGAUUCUUGACUCACAAAAACUGCAACAUGACGGAGUCUCGCUCUGUCGCCCAGGAUGGAGUGCAGUGGUGCGAUCUCGGCUCACUGCAAGCUCCGCCUCCUGGGUUCACGCCAUUCUCCUGCCUCAGCCUCCGUGGUAGCUGGGACUACAGGUUUUGAGACUCAGACUGGUUUCCUUGCUCCUCAGCUUGCAGAUAACCUAUUGUGGAACUUCACCUUGUGAUUGUGGCCAGUUCUUCAGAAUCUGCUUUUUCUCCUGAAAUCAGGCCAUGUGAAAAGAAGAUGUUGCCUCCUGGCACAGAUCAUUCAUCCUGCCUGGUCCUCAGUCAAGUCUCCAGCAGCUUGGGAUGUCUGAAGAAUGACAAGCCUAAGAGUCAAGGCCCGGGGAUGCCCAACAUACAUUCUAUAAGUGGGGAAAGUGGAUAAAAUGUUUUCUGUGUGGAAAGGACAAAUAACAGUUAAUUUCUACUGGAAAAGUAAGAAAAACCAUAAUUAAAAUUGCUCAAAAGUAAA